UACGGGGGGGGCAAGCGUUGGUCGGAAUUACUGGGGGUAAAGGGCUCGUAGGUGGCCAACUAAGUCAGACGUGAAAUCCCUCGGCUUAACCGGGGAACUGCGUCUGAUACUGGAUGGCUUGAGUUCGGGAGAGGGAUGCGGAAUUCCAGGUGUAGCGGUGAAAUGCGUAGAUAUCUGGAGGAACACCGGUGGCGAAGGCGGCAGCCUGGACCGACACUGACACUGAGGAGCGAAAGCCAGGGGAGCAAACGGG
rnacentral:rRNA from 1 species